AUGGGAACGCGAAGAACCUUACCUAGACUUGACAUCUCCUGAAUAGUGUAGAGAUACAUGAAGCCCUUCGGGGCAGGAAGACAGGUGGUGCAUGGUUGUCGUCAGCUCGUGUCGUGAGAUGUUGGGUUAAGUCCCGCAACGAGCGCAACCCUUAUUACUAGUUGCUACCAUUAAGUUGAGCACUCUAGUGAGACUGCCCGGGUUAACCGGGAGGAAGGCGGGGAUGACGUCAAAUCAUCAUGCCCCUUAUGUCUAGGGCAACACACGUGCUACAAUGGUGAGUACAGAUAGAUGCGAUACCGCAAGGUGGAGCCAAACUCUAAAACUCAUCCCAGUUCGGAUUGUAGGCUGCAACUCGCCUAUAUGAAGUUGGAGUUGCUAGUAAUCGCGAAUCAGAAUGUCGCGGUGAAUACGUUCCCGGGUCUUGUACACACCG
rnacentral:rRNA from 1 species